rnacentral:lncRNA from 1 species
CUCCUCCCAAAACAUUCACCCCAAACCCAAAUGGGGUUUUCUCCUCUCAGUGCAUUCACCCCAAACCCAAAUGGGGUUUUCUGUUUCCAACACCCUCACCCCAAAUCCAGAGCGGGUUUUGCCAUUCCAAUCUAUUCACCCCAAACCCAAAUGGGAUUUCCCACAGUUACCCCAAAUCCAAAUGGGGUUUUCCUUUCCAACGCAUUCACCCCAAACCCAAAUGGGAUUUCCAUUUCCAAUGCAUUCACCCCAAACCCAAAUGGGAUUUCAAAUCCCAAUGCAUUCACCCCAAAUCCAAAUGAGGUUUUGCCAUUCCAAUGCAUUCACCCCAAACCCAAAUGGGGUUUUCUCCUCUCAGAACAUUCACCCCAAACCUAAAUGGGGUUUUCUCCUCCCAAAACAUUCACCCCAAACCCAAAUGGGGUUCUCCUUUCCAACACAUUCACCCCAACCCAAAUGGGGUUUUCUCCUCCCAACACAUUCACCCCAAACCCAAAUGGGGUUCUCCUUUCCAACACAUUCACCCCAAACCCAAAUGGGGUUUUCCCUCCCGGCCCCAUUUGCCCCGCAGUGCCCUCAGUGCGCAUCCCGGACUGCUGUGUGCACAGAGGGCUCUUAAUGAGCCAAUAAUCCUUAAUGGGAUUGAAUUGCCUCUUUAUGAGCGCUAAUUACAGAGAUACGGCAAUUAACGCCGUACAAUUAACGCAGCUCUGCUCACUGUAAGGGCUGAGCGGCGAUGUGACCCCAUUGGCACCGCUAUGGGCAGCGGACCCACACUGCGCUGACACUGACCCCAACCCUACAACCCUGACCCUAUAACACCAACCCCAACCCUGACCCUAUAACCCCAACCCUGACCCUAUAACCCCGACCCUACAACCAUGGCCCUAUAACCCCAACCCUGACCCUAUAACCCCAACCCUGAUCCUGUAAUCCUGACUCUAUGACCCCAAUCCUGACCCUAUGGUCCCAAACCUGACCCUAUAACCCCAACUCUGAUCCUACAAUCCCAACCCUGACCCUAUGACCCCAACCUUGACCCUAUAACCCCAACCCUGACCCUAUGGUCUCAACCCAGACCCUGUAACCCUGACCCUAUAACCCCAACCUGACCCUAUAACCCUGACCCUGGCCCUAUGACCCCAACCCUGAUCCUGUAACCCUGACUCUAUAAGCCCAACCCUGAUCCUAUGGUCCCAACCCUGACCCUACAACCCUGACCCUAUAACCUCAACUACGACCCUGUGACCCCAACCCUGACCUUACAACCCCAACCCUGAUCCUGUAGCCCUGACCCUAUAGCGCCAACCCUGACCCUGUGACCCUGACCCUAUAAUCCUAACCCCAACCCUAACCCUGACCCUAUGAUUCUUAUCCUGACCCUAGCCCUAUAACUCUGACCUUGAUCCUAUAACCCUAACCCUAAUCCUAGUCCUAAUCCAAACCCUAACCCUGACUCUAACCCUAUAACCCUGAUCCCAUAACUCUAACCUUGACCCUGACCUUGAUCCUAUAACCCUAACCAUAACCAUUGACCCUCACCCUAUAACCCCAAUCCUAACCCUGAUCCUAUAAUCCUAAUCCUAGCCUUGACCCUGACCCUAACCCUAUAACCCAAACUCUAACCCUGACCCUGACCCUAUAACCCCAACCCUAACCCCAACUCUAACCCUGACACUGACCCCAACCCCAACCAACCCUGGCCCCAACUCUGACCCUGUAACCCUAACCCUAACCUUGGCCCUGACCCUAACCCUGACCCUAUAACCCAACCCUCACCCUAUGAUCCUAACCCUAACCUGAUGCUGACACAGACCCUAACCCCAACCAGUCCUGACCCUAUAACUCUAACCCAAACCGUAUCCCUGUCCCUAUAACUCUAACCCCAUAACUCUGACCCUAUAAAUCAACCUCGACCCCAACCCCAUACCCAACACCAGUCCUAAACUGAAACCUGACCCUAACACUCUAACCCUAACCCCAACCCUAACCCUGACCCCAUAAUGCUAACCCUAAUCCUGACCCCAUAACUCUAACCCUAACCCUGACCCCAUAACUCUAACCCUAACCCUGACCCCAUAACAGUAACCCUAACCCUGACCCCAUAACGCUAACCCUAACCCUGAUCCCAUAACGCUAACCCUAACCCUGACCCCAUAACUCUAACCCUAACCCUGACCCCAUAACUCUAACCCUAACCCUAACCCUAAUCCCUGUAGGAUUUUUCUCAGUGGGUUUUGGGUCUGUAGAAGUUUUCUCAAUGGGUUUCGGGUCCAGGAGGGUUUUCUCAAUGGGUUUUGUGUCCAUCGGAGUUUUCCCAAUGGGAUUUGGGCCCCGUGGGACUUUUCUCAAUGGGGUUUGGGUGUAUGGGAGAUUUCUCAAUGGGUUUUGGGCCCUUAGGAUUUUUCCCAAUAGGAUUUGGGUCUAUGGGAGUUUUCUCAAUGGGUUUCGGGUCCAUAGGAGUUCUCCCAAUGGGGUUUGGGCCCUGUGGGAAUUUGCUCAGUGGGUUUGGGGUCUGUAGGAUUUUUCUCAGUGGAUUUUGGCUCUGUAGAAGUUUUCUUUUUCAUUGAGUUUUGGGUCUGUGGGAGUUUUCUCAAUGGGGUUUGGGGUCGAUGGGGGUUUUCUCAGUGGGGUUUGGGUGUACGGGAUUUUUCUCAAUGGGUUUUGUAUCCAUCAAAGAUGUCCUAAUGGGGUCUGGGCCCCGUGGGAGUUUUCUCAAUGGGGUUUGGGUGUAUGGAGGUUUUCUCAUUGGGUUUUGGGCCCUGUGGGGGUGGGGGGUUCUUAACGGGUUUUGUGUCCGUAGGAGUUUUCCCAAUGGGGUCUGGGCCCUGUGGGAGUUUUCUCAGUGGGUUUUGGGUCAGUAGGAUUUUUUCCCAAUAGGAUUUGGGUCUAUAGAAGUUUUUCUCAAUGAGUUUUGGGUGUAUGGGUAUUUUCUUGAUAGGUUUUGUGUCCGUAGGAGUUUUCCCAAUGGGUUUUGGGGUCUGUAGGAUUUUUCUCAGUGGAUUUUGGCUCUGUAGAAGUUUUCUUUUUCAAUGAGUUUUGGGUCUGUGGGAGUUUUCUCAAUGGGGUUUGGGGUCGAUGGGGGUUUUCUCCACGGAUUUUGUGUCCAUUGGAGUUUUCUCAAUGGGGUGUGGGCCCUGGGGGGGGGGCGGUUCUCAAUGGGUUUUGGGUCUAUAGGACUUUUUUUCAAUGGGUUUUGGAUCCAUGAGAGUUUUCCCAAUGGGUUUUGGGUCCAGAGGAAUUUUCCCGAUGGGGUUUGGGCCCCGCGGGAGUUUUCUCAGCGGCUUUUGUGUCUGUAGAAGGUUUUUUUUUUUUCAACGGGUUUUGGGUCCAUUGCAGUUUUCUCGAUGGGUUUUGGGCCCUACGGGAGUUUUCUCAAUGGGUUUUUGGGUCUAUGAGAGUUUUCUCAAUGGGGCUUUGGGCCCUCCGGGGGUUUCUCAAUGGCUUUCGGCCCGCAGAGGCUCCGGUUGGCGGCGGCUCCGAGCACCACCCGAGCAGCAGCGCGGCUCUCUCGGCCGGAAGGACGGCCCGCCGCUCCGGUUCGGUUCUGCCCCGCGGAGCGGUUGGGCCCGCCGGGUCCCGCGGCCGUCCGUCGCCGCGCUGUUUGUUUGCCCGUUGCCCGGAGCCGCGACCGUCCGCUGCGCUCCGCGCCUCUGCGGUUUCCCGUCCCCCGAAAGCGGUUAUUUGGGAUUUGAGUUUUUGUCGCUUUUCUUUUCCUGUUGUUAUCGGGGAGAUCCCAACCUCCGCUCGCGCUGACGCGGAGCUGACGGCAGCGCUACGAAUCGGGAAAGGGGGGGGGGGAGGGGGGGG